GCCCUCGUGGCUUAGUGGUAGAGCGUCCAUCUUUUGAACGGUUGGUCGUGGGUUCGAAUCCCUCCGGGGGCA